AACAGGAUUAGAUACCCUGGUAGUCCAUGCCGUNNACGAUGAGUGCUAAGUGUUGGAGGGUUUCCGCCCUUCAGUGCUGCAGCUAACGCAUUAAGCACUCCGCCUGGGGAGUACGACCGCAAGGUUGAAACUCAAAGGAAUUGACGGGGGCCCGCACAAGCGGUGGAGCAUGUGGUUUAAUUCGAUGCUACGCGAAGAACCUUACCAGGUCUUGACAUCUUCUGCCAACCUAAGAGAUUAGGCGUUCCCUUCGGGGACAGAAUGACAGGUGGUGCAUGGUUGUCGUCAGCUCGUGUCGUGAGAUGUUGGGUUAAGUCCCGCAACGAGCGCAACCCUUAUUGUUAGUUGCCAGCAUUUAGUUGGGCACUCUAGCAAGACUGCCGGUGACAAACCGGAGGAAGGUGGGGAUGACGUCAAAUCAUCAUGCCCCUUAUGACCUGGGCUACACACGUGCUACAAUGGACGGUACAACGAGUCGCGAAACCGCGAGGUCAAGCUAAUCUCUUAAAGCCGUUCUCAGUUCGGAUUGUAGGCUGCAACUCGCCUACAUGAAGUUGGAAUCGCUAGUAAUCGUGGAUCAGCAUGCCACGGUGAAUACGUUCCCGGGCCUUGUACACACCGCCCGUCACACCAUGAGAGUUUGUAACACCCAAAGCCGGUGAGGUAACCUUCGGGAACCAACCGUCUAAGGUGGGACAGAUGAUUAGGGUGAAGUCGUAACAAGGUAACC
rnacentral:rRNA from 1 species